CGGAAAUUGAUAGCCUGUGUACACCUAAAAUGUAACCGGACUUGAUGGAUUAUUUUGUUUCUGCAUGGGAGUCAUAGGACCAGCUAAUUUUGUUUGGAAUUGACAAUGUUUUUACCGUGACCGCAGCCGCGGGCAGACAGCCGUCAAGAUGGUUGAUACUGUUUGACGAGGGCAGAUACACAACCUAAACGACCGUGUGGCCAUCGGGGGCCCCCUUCAGCUGGGGGCCCUAGGCAACUGCCUACCUUGCCUACCCCAUUGCGACGGCUCUGGAAGUAAGAAGGGUGAAACCUUGGCAAUGACGUUGAGUGUGACACAGUUGACCAGGUCAUGCAUGACAGCAGGUGUUCUGACAUCUUCCCAUCAUGCCUCCUUCUAAAUGCUGGAUCCAUGAUGCAUCGCUGCCUGUACCAGAUGCCAUGUUCUGCAGCUGUCACUAGCCCAUUUCCCAGGAAACUGAGAAUAUUGAGUGAUGCAAAUCAUUUACUGGUAGAGCAAAACCAAUGGUAUACACACAAUUGCAUAUUAGGGCUGUCAAUUUAACACACUAAUUUAUUAAUUAUAUGACAAAAUAACACAUUUAAAAUAAAUUAUAGAUUUAAUCAUGCCACCUGACAUUAAGUCCAUAAUAAAUCAUUUUUGUACCAGCUUACAGAGAGCAGACAGUUCACACAGGACACAUUCUUGCGUUAAAAACAGCUAGACACAGCGCAACAGAAUGGAACAGCACAUAGAGUAAGAGGUCUUGAGACUUGUUGUUCAAAGUUUAAAUACUGUAAAUUUGGCAUGCCGUCUUAAAAGUAUGCAUUUAGCUGAAUUUUAUUAAUUUAACUUUUAAAUUUGUACAAAUUAAAAUUGUAAUUGAUUUGACUGAAAAUAAAUAAAACAAAAAUAUUUAGAGGGGGAGGAAACCUAUUAUUAAUAGAUAAAUAUAAUCUUUUGCAUUAUAGUGUAUUUCUGCAGCUUUUCCAUGUCUCCAAAUUUGAGGAAGGGAAUUAUUUUAUUUUGUUAAAAUAGGCAAAUUUCUUUGCCAAGUGUGUUAGAAACCAUAGCAGAACCAUCACUGUUUGCUUAAUUUCACAAUAAGCAAACAAAUUUUCAAUUGAAUGUUAUUUUUGGCUCAAUGUGGUCACCAUUAGACAGUGAAGGUUGAAAACAGGAUGACAGAAAGUGAAGAAACUCCAUAAAAUGGGUUAGAAGUUAGUGUUGCGCUAACGAAUAGUUACUUUAGGCUCCUGAAAUACACAAAACGUCUAGAUGGUAAUAAUGGACUUCUGCUAAUUUUCAUGUAGCCUGUUGCAAUCAAAGCAGAGGUAUUGACAAUAGACUACUAUCAGAGUAUCACCGUCAUAAAUAACACAGCACAAAUUAAAGCAUACCUUUUUCCGAACAUGUUAAAGAGACGUUUGUAGAUAAAUGGAUCUUUGGGAUGUUUAAGUGACAUCAGAAUUGUCUACACAAACAGGCCAGGGAAUGUGAUUAGUUUCUGUGGUUUCUUAUUAAGAACAUUAAUGAGAUGAAAUAUGUACCUUUGUAGCCUAAGGGAAAUAAACCAUGGUCAUGACAAAAUGCAAGCUGUUAAGCCUGUGGAUGGGGCCAUAUUUCUCUGCUCUUUAAAACAAGAAUAAAGACUCAUUGUAAUGAAAAUUUUCCAUUGAAGAUCAAUAAUGUGUCUCACUAUGCUGUAUCUAUCUACUUUUAAUUCAAUAAAAAAUAAUGCCUGCUGUUGAGUAAAAAAAACAAAGUGUGAUUAUUAACCCUGAUUAUAUAUGAUUAUAUCAUCAUUGUUUGUGUGCAUGCAAGUAAAUGCAAUAUCACCAAACAUAAAGUGAUAACACAGUAUUACUGUUACGAUUUUCUGUUGUAUGCCCUGUGUUUAGCAUCCGUGAUCUGUUUUCCCCUGGAGUACACUUCCCAUGAUUCCUUGUCCUAAUCGCUACCAGCUGUUCCCCAUUGUUUUCACCAGUCUUCUGUUACCUCAUUUAUCCUCAUGUAUAUAAUGUCCUGUCUGUUGUUAAUAUUUCUCCCCUGUUCAUGCUCCGGUUCCUGUCCUGUUUGUUUACUUUUGUUUUACUUCCUGGUUUACUAUCUUGCUCUGUUUCUGCGUAUAGCCUGCAAUGUAUUCUAUCUUAUUGUUAUUAAAGAAUCUGCGUUUAGAUCCUGCUCAUGUGACCUCCUUCAUUACAAUGGUUACUUAAUAUGCGCAUGCAGUUUUUUGAGGUCUAAUUCAACUCUAAAAUAUAUUAGUCCCAUAAUAAUAAAUAAUAAUGUACUGUAAAUAAUGAAUUAUGGGUUGAUAUAAAAGUGUUUGACUCUUACCAUUGCAGAAAUAAGUUGUGAAUAAAGCUGUCAGAUUUCGUUGCUUUAAUAACAGUUGUUGUAUGUCCAAGCAGAAAACUAUGAAUAAUUAAUUUGACAUGUAAAUAAAAAUAUAAUUUAAACAUAAAACAAAUUGGUCUAUCUUUUAUAUAAUCGUAUAUUAAAUAUAAAUUAAUUUCUUGUCUCUUGGAGGUUCAGGUAUAUGAUCAUAUUUCUGAUUCAUGAACAUGUCAAAAAUACAGACAAUAUGCAGCAAUGUGAUAAACACAACAAACAACAGGAAAAACACAAUAUAUGUAGCCCAUUCCGUGAUCUCCUGAAGGACUUGCAUGAUCGCGCUGAUUUUUGGGUUGCUCACAUAUCUUUACUUAUAUCAGGAUGUUUAUCAAAUAUUAAUGUCCCAUAAGUCUC